rnacentral:tRNA from 1 species
GGUGGGUUGGCCUAGUGGGUAGAGUUAAGGGCUCGCAACUGAGAGGUCCGGGUUCAAAUCCCGCAAGAGGCG